UGCAGAACCCGGCUUAGAGUUUGAUCAUGGCUCAGGAUAAACGCUGGCGGCGCACAUAAGACAUGCAAGUCGAACGGACUUAACCUCUUGCUUGCAAGAGGAGCGGUUAGUGGCGGACUGGUGAGUAACACGUAAGAAAUCUACCUAUCAGAGGGGAAUAACAGUGAGAAAUCACUGCUAAUACCGCAUAUGCCAUAGUUAUCGCAUGAUAAUAGUGGGAAAGAAGCAAUUCGCUGAUAGAUGAGCUUGCGGCUGAUUAGCUAGUUGGUGAGGUAACGGCCCACCAAGGCGACGAUCAGUAGCCGGACUGAGAGGUUGAACGGCCACAUUGGGACUGAGAUACGGCCCAGACUCCUACGGGAGGCAGCAGUCGGGAAUAUUGCGCAAUGGAGGAAACUCUGACGCAGUGACGCCGCGUAUAGGAAGAAGGUUUUCGGAUUGUAAACUAUUGUCCACAGGGACGAAAAGGACUGUACCUGUGAAGAAAGCUCCGGCUAACUACGUGCCAGCAGCCGCGGUAAUACGUAGGGAGCAAGCGUUAUCCGGAAUUAUUGGGUGUAAAGGGUGCGUAGACGGGAUAACAAGUUAGUUGUGAAACCCCUCGGCUCAACUGAGGAACUGCAACUAAAACUAUUAUUCUUGAGUGCAGGAGAGGAAAGUG
rnacentral:rRNA from 1 species